GCCUGGGUGGCUCAGUCGGUUGAGCAUGAGACUUCAGCUCAGGUCAUGAUCUCGCAGUUCGUGGGUUCAAGCCCCAUGUCAGGCU
rnacentral:tRNA from 1 species